AUAAACGCUGGCGGCGUGCUUAACACAUGCACGUCGAACGAAGUUUUUCUUUCGGGAGGAACUUAGUGGCGGACGGGUGAGUAACGCGUGGGUAACCUGCCCUGUACAGGGGGACAACAGCUGGAAACGGCUGCUAAUACCGCAUAAGCCCUUAGCACUGCAUGGUGCAUAGGGAAAAGGAGCAAUCCGGUACAGGAUGGACCCGCGUCUGAUUAGCCAGUUGGCAGGGUAACGGCCUACCAAAGCGACGAUCAGUAGCCGAUCUGAGAGGAUGUACGGCCACAUUGGGACUGAGACACGGCCCAGACUCCUACGGGAGGCAGCAGUGGGGAAUAUUGCACAAUGGAGGAAACUCUGAUGCAGCGACGCCGCGUGAGUGAAGAAGUAUUUCGGUAUGUAAAGCUCUAUCAGCAGGAAAGAAAAUGACGGUACCUGACUAAGAAGCACCGGCUAAAUACGUG
rnacentral:rRNA from 1 species